AGACAUGACCGAGCUAGAUGCCGGCAUGGAAGCAAAUUUAGGCGCAAAGCCUUCGGCCACAAAGUUGGGCGACAUUCCCCAUGGGAAUCCGAAAGGCAUAUUCGGAACGAAAUGGGCGGUGGCAGCAGGCGUGGUAGAGGUAGUCACCUCUGAAGUAACAGUCCUCGCAGGAGAAGUUGCAAGUGUUAGUAAAGAUUGGUUCUGAGCAGCAAGAACUGACUCCAUCGUGGCAGUCAG
rnacentral:lncRNA from 1 species